UGGAAAGGACCUACUGAAAAAAAAAAUAUCU
rnacentral:piRNA from 1 species